rnacentral:lncRNA from 1 species
CGCAAAAGCUAGGUGACCUCGCACCAGGUACACCAGGUCAUCAAAUGGUAAACAAAUUAUACGUGUGUCUUUAUUAAUUUAUUCGGUGAUACCAGCAGGUCAUCCACGUACACAUAUACAUAGGUAGUAGGUGCACUAGUAGAGAGUGGAACUGGACACAUCACACACACACACACAUGAAGGUAUACUACAUAACGGAUACCGUACUGCCUGCCCACACAUG